rnacentral:rRNA from 1 species
AUUGAACGCUGGCGGCAGGCCUAACACAUGCAAGUCGAGCGGAUGAAGGGAGCUUGCUCCUGGAUUCAGCGGCGGACGGGUGAGUAAUGCCUAGGAAUCUGCCUGGGAGUGGGGGAUAACGUCCGGAAACGGGCGCUAAUACCGCAUACGUCCUGAGGGAGAAAGUGGGGGAUCUUCGGACCUCACGCUAUCAGAUGAGCCUAGGUCGGAUUAGCUAGAUGGUGGGGUAAAGGCCUACCAAGGCGACGAUCCGUAACUGGUCUGAGAGGAUGAUCAGUCACACUGGAACUGAGACACGGUCCAGACUCCUACGGGAGGCAGCAGUGGGGAAUAUUGGACAAUGGGCGAAAUCCUGCUCCAGCCAUGCCGCGUGUGUGAAGAAGGUCUUCGGAUUGUAAAGCACUUUAAGUUGGGAGGAAGGGCAGUAAGUUAAUACCUUGCUGUUUUGACGUUACCAACAGAAUAAGCACCGGCUAACUUCGUG